CGUCCACUCUAAUAUCACGUAAUAUUCGUAGGAGUGUGCGAUGCAGGAAUAUAUAAACAGUUGCGUAGCGGGUUCGAGACUGCGAGGCCUUGAAGACGGAAUAGGCGAAGGCGUGUACGACGUCGUCCGACUUGACUCUAUAAAAGCAUGCCAAUAACUCGCGGGCAAAAGCUCUCUUCUUCGAAAGAAGAUAUGUAAACGCGUACAUCGACGAAUGAACCAACAGAUUAAACGAAGAUCGAUAUCAAUGAGAAACAACUCUGGGUCGCCGCGCCGUAUCGUGCAUACUAUUCAUAUUAAUUAUACGUAAUUGACAGUCCAAUGAACACGAAAUGUCUACUAAAUGGACCGACAAGCUACUUGUAAAAAAUAUUUCUACGACCAAUAGGAGCAGAGGUAUUCAAACUUACCACUGCCCAGAUGACCGUGAUAUUGCAUAGAUUUUUUCGGAUCCUCCAACGACUCUCAAAAAAUUCGUCUGUCAGUCCAUCUGGUAGAUAUUUGAAGAUAUUUUGUACUCUAUUCGACUGAACUGAAAGUCAAUUUCUGUACGACG
rnacentral:misc_RNA from 1 species